AUUUUCUACCUGCAUCAGUAUCAAUUAUGCACAUGUCUAAAAUCAACCCUCUUGUGUGGUGUAACUCUCUUUCAAAUCCAUCAGUGGCUUUGGGCACUCGGUUCUCUUUUUAAUUUGACAUAAGCAUUCUCAUUCUUCCGGGAGAAACAACGGGCUUUCCUUCCCUUUUCCAUCCUUUACUGGCCUUAUAGGAAACUGAAGUUGUGAGAGGGCCUGGAACCAUGGUUCUCAACCUGUGCUAUCCCUGGGAAUCAGCCUGGGGACUUGUUUCAAAAACACCGAUGCUUGGGUCCCAUCCAGAGAGAUGCCUGCUUAAUUGCCUAGGAUGUGCCUUCCCUGGAAGGAUGUUAUUGGGCGCAGAGGACUGAGAACCACAGGCUUGAGUGUUCUCAACCCAUAGUGCACAGUAACAACUCAGCCUGGGCCACGUCAUCUGAAAGGCUACUGCAAGAAACACUGAUGCUCCACCAAUGAAAACCACAAUUCUAGGGCAAGGAUCCAGGAUUGUUAGAAAACUCCCAGAUGAUUCUGAGGCAUAUCAAGGGGUAAGGUCGACUGACAGGAACUAACUGUCUCACAUCACAGAUGCAGAAAAGGAGAACUAGAAAGGUCAGAUCCUGGUUGUUGCAAAAGCACGGCUGGGACUCCGGUCCGAUGCCUCCGGUUGGCCUUUCCACUGCCUAAUCUGGCCCCCUUAUAUCUGUUUGUUGUAUUUACUAAUACCUCCUCAUCCUUCAGGUGAUGUUCCUGCCUCCAAGAGGCCUUUAAUGGCUCCUCCCACUCUCCUCCCAUCCAGUCUGGGUAAGAUGUCCUUCCUUUAUAUUUGAACAGCACCCUUACUUAGCGGUCUCCUCGCACUGUGAGCUCUAGGACAGGCCCAUAUCUUGCUCGUCUUUUCAGUAACUUGCUGGCAUGUCGUGGGGACCCAGAUAAUAUUAGUUGAAGUUCCCUUUCUAUUUACCAGUCAGCCCACUUGGAUUGUUAAAAAUAAUCCACUCCUGUAUGUCGCCUUUUGAAGGUAGCUUCCAAAAGCAAAUUGUAUUAUUACAUGACUACUGCCCACUGUGCUAUGGGUCAGGAUCUCAUACACAAGGACUUCCCAGCCUUGCCUUCUAGGAGAGAGAGUUGAGGGGGCAAAAAGUGUAUCAAGGGGAUUUUGAUGACAAAAUAAUGAAAGCAAGAUGUCUCUGAUCUUACACGUUACUCAGGCUCAGUAGAAAUGAAUCUGACUAGUAUCCAUGAGGAUGCAGGUUUGAUCCCUGGCCUCACUCAUUGAGUUAAGAAUCUGGUAUUGCCACGAGCUGUGGUGUAGUUUGCAGACACAGCUUGAAUCUGGUGUGGCCGUGGCUGUGGUACAGGCCAGCAGCUGCAGCUCCAAUUCGAUGCCUAGCCUGGGAACUUACAUAUGCUGUAGGGUUGGCCCU
rnacentral:lncRNA from 1 species